GAUAACUCCGGGAAACCGGGGCUAAUACCGGAUGCUUGUUUGAACCGCAUGGUUCAAACAUAAAAGGUGGCUUCGGCUACCACUUACAGAUGGACCCGCGGCGCAUUAGCUAGUUGGUGAGGUAACGGCUCACCAAGGCAACGAUGCGUAGCCGACCUGAGAGGGUGAUCGGCCACACUGGGACUGAGACACGGCCCAGACUCCUACGGGAGGCAGCAGUAGGGAAUCUUCCGCAAUGGACGAAAGUCUGACGGAGCAACGCCGCGUGAGUGAUGAAGGUUUUCGGAUCGUAAAGCUCUGUUGUUAGGGAAGAACAAGUACCGUUCGAAUAGGGCGGUACCUUGACGGUACCUAACCAGAAAGCCACGGCUAACUACGUGCCAGCAGCCGCGGUAAUACG
rnacentral:rRNA from 2 species